rnacentral:hammerhead_ribozyme from 1 species
CGCUACUGAGGAGUCCCACAAUAGGACGAAACGGCCGUGAAGCAG